UGAGGAAUAUUGGUCAAUGGGCGAGAGCCUGAACCAGCCAAGUAGCGUGCAGGAUGACGGCCCUAUGGGUUGUAAACUUCUUUUAUAUGGGAAUAAAGUGAGGGACGUGUCCCUUAUUGCAUGUACCAUACGAAUAAGGACCGGCUAAUUCCGUGCCAGCAGCCGCGGUAAUACGGAAGGUCCAGGCGUUAUCCGGAUUUAUUGGGUUUAAAGGGAGCGUAGGCCGUUUGGUAAGCGUGUUGUGAAAUGUAGGAGCUCAACUUCUAGAUUGCAGCGCGAACUGUCAGACUUGAGUGCGCACAACGUAGGCGGAAUUCAUGGUGUAGCGGUGAAAUGCUUAGAUAUCAUGAAGAACUCCGAUUGCGAAGGCAGCUUACGGGAGCGCAACUGACGCUGAAGCUCGAAGGUGCGGGUAUCGAACAGG
rnacentral:rRNA from 1 species